GAUGAACGCUGGCGGCGUGCCUAAUACAUGCCAGUCGAGCGAACAGAUGAGGAGCUUGCUCCUCUGACGUUAGCGGCGGACGGGUGAGUAACACGUGGAUAACCUACCUAUAAGACUGGGAUAACUUCGGGAAACCGGAGCUAAUACCGGAUAAUAUAUUGAACCGCAUGGUUCAAUAGUGAAAGACGGUUUUGCUGUCACUUAUAGAUGGAUCCGCGCCGCAUUAGCUAGUUGGUAAGGUAACGGCUUACCAAGGCAACGAUGCGUAGCCGACCUGAGAGGGUGAUCGGCCACACUGGAACUGAGACACGGUCCAGACUCCUACGGGAGGCAGCAGUAGGGAAUCUUCCGCAAUGGGCGAAAGCCUGACGGAGCAACGCCGCGUGAGUGAUGAAGGUCUUCGGAUCGUAAAACUCUGUUAUUAGGGAAGAACAAAUGUGUAAGUAACUAUGCACGUCUUGACAGUACCUAAUCAGAAAGCCACGGCUAACUACGUG
rnacentral:rRNA from 1 species